UAGGGAAUCUUCCGCAAUGGACUCAAGUCUGACGGAGCAACGCCGCGUGAGUGAAGAAGGAUUUCGGUUCGUAAAACUCUGUUGUUAGAGAAGAACAGCGCAUAGAGUAACUGUUAUGCGUGUGACGGUAUCUAACCAGAAAGCCACGGCUAACUACGUGCCAGCAGCCGCGGUAAUACGUAGGUGGCAAGCGUUGUCCGGAUUUAUUGGGCGUAAAGCGAGCGCAGGCGGUCAAUUAAGUCUGAUGUGAAAGCCCCCGGCUCAACCGGGGAGGGUCAUUGGAAACUGGUUGACUUGAGUGCAGAAGAGGAGAGUGGAAUUCCAUGUGUAGCGGUGAAAUGCGUAGAUAUAUGGAGGAACACCAGUGGCGAAGGCGACUCUCUGGUCUGUAACUGACGCUGAGGUUCGAAAGCGUGGGUAGCAAACAGG
rnacentral:rRNA from 1 species